rnacentral:rRNA from 1 species
GAUGAACGCUGGCGGCGUGCCUAAUACAUGCAAGUCGAGCGAACGGACGAGAAGCUUGCUUCUCUGAUGUUAGCGGCGGACGGGUGAGUAACACGUGGAUAACCUACCUAUAAGACUGGGAUAACUUCGGGAAACCGGAGCUAAUACCGGAUGAUAUUUUGAACCGCAUGGUUCAAAAGUGAAAGACGGUCUUGCUGUCACUUAUAGAUGGAUCCGCGCUGCAUUAGCUAGUUGGUAAGGUAACGGCUUACCAAGGCAACGAUGCAUAGCCGACCUGAGAGGGUGAUCGGCCACACUGGAACUGAGACACGGUCCAGACUCCUACGGGAGGCAGCAGUAGGGAAUCUUCCGCAAUGGGCGAAAGCCUGACGGAGCAACGCCGCGUGAGUGAUGAAGGUCUUCGGAUCGUAAAACUCUGUUAUUAGGGAAGAACAUAUGUGUAAGGAACUGUGCACAUCUUGACGGUACCUAAUCAGAAAGCAACGGCUAACUACGUG